rnacentral:rRNA from 1 species
GGACUACCAGGGUAUCUAAUCCCGUUUGCUCCCCUAGCUUUCGCGCCUCAGCGUCAGCAGAGGUCCAGGAGCUCGCUUUCGCCACCGGAGUUCCUUCCAAUAUCAACGCAUUUCACCGCUCCACUGGAAGUUCCAGCUCCCCCUACCUCCCUCCAGCCAAUCAGUAUCCAAGGCACUUUUCCGGUUAAGCCGAAAGAUUUCACCCCGGACUUGAUCGACCGCCUACGCGCCCUUUAAGCCCAGUGAUUCCGAACAACGUUCGCACGGUUCGUCUUACCGCGGCUGCUGGCAC